AAUCAACGCUGGCGGCGUGCCUCAGACAUGCAAGUCGAACGAUUAAAGCUCUCUUCGGAGAGUGUAUAGAGUGGCGCACGGGUGAGUAACACGUAAGUAAUCUACCUUUGAGUGGGGAAUAACCCGGGGAAACCCGAGCUAAUACCGCAUAAUGCAGCGGCAUCGCAAGAUGACAGUUGUUAAAGGAGCAAUCCGCUUAAAGAGGAGCUUGCGGCAGAUUAGCUAGUUGGUAAGGUAAUGGCUUACCAAGGCUACGAUCUGUAUCCGGUCUAAGAGGACGGUCGGACACACUGACACUGAAUAACGGGUCAGACUCCUACGGGAGGCAGCAGUCGGGAAUUUUGGGCAAUGGGCGAAAGCCUGACCCAGCAACGCCGCGUGAAGGAUGAAGUAUUCGGUAUGUAAACUUCGAAAGAAUAGGAAGAAUAAAUGACGGUACUAUUUAUAAGUCCGGCUAACUACGUGCCA
rnacentral:rRNA from 1 species